AGAAGCUUCACAUAUGAGAGAUGUUUCAAGCAUCUGAAUGGAGUGAAAAACUCAGUAGUGUCAUUGGGAGGUGCUUCUUGAGAAGCAUGUGCAGGCUGAGAAACCUAAAAAUUCCAAAAUGCUGUGGAAAUUGGGUGGACUGAUGCUGAAAUUCUCCCACAUACAGUAAAUCAUGAAGAACCUAUGGCUGCUCACCCAGAGGCAGAAUCUCGUCUGUGUUUGUGAUAACAGAUAGCUCCUUCAAGUAGGCUGUUUGAACACACAGAAGGAAAGGGUCCAGUAAACUCCUGAAACUCCAGCACAGAAUCAAGAAGCUUCUGAAUUAAGCAUCAAGAGCAAAUACUUGCUGAAUGAAAAAAUGAAUCCAAUAAAACCCCAGGAUGUGGUACUGGAUGACGUGUCAACCUGGCAACCAUGCUCUGGGCACUCUGAAACUGCCCUGUAAAUGGACAGAUGUCAUUCAAAUAGCAAAAAGCAUUUGGUGAUCUAUAGGAGCUGAAUAUUUGUAGGCUGCUGGUAUCUGCUGACAAAUGACACCAAUCACUUCCUUACAUUCUUCAAAUUUUCUCAGUGCACAGCUGGCACAUCCAGCUCUAUCCACUGAUCCUCACAGAACUACAGAAUAUCCUGAGUUGGAAGGGACCCACAAGGAUCAUCUAAGCCUAACUCCUGGCCCUGCACAGAACAACUCCAACAAUCCCACCCUGUCUCUAAGAGUGCGGCUCGAACACUUGAGCUCUGUCAGUCUUGGUGCUGUGCCCACUCCCUGGAGAGCCUGUUCAGUGCCCAACCACCCUCUGGGGCAAGAACCUUUUCCUAGUACUAGCUUAAACCUCCCCUGACACAACUUCAGGCCAUUUCCUUGUAUCCUGGCCCUGCUGACUCACUGCUGAAUUUGCCAUAUUCUUUAGUUCUGUUACGUCGUGCAGCAUCUGGGAUUCUUCUGGACCCUUCCACCACUUCACUGAGCUGCACCUCUGGCUGCUUUGGGUUGUUCUACUGGGGCAUAAAGAAGUGAGAAAGACCUAGAAGCUUAUUCCCUUUCAGAGGAGGUUGAGGAGCUGAUCUGUCACUGCUCCAGAGUCCUCUCCCUGUCCACUGGAGCGUGUGGGGCUGUGGUGAGGGAGAGGGGAACCAGCACUGGUGCCUGCUGUGCUCUGAUUGUUCUGCACUUCCCAGAGCUGUGAGAUGCAGAGCAUAAUUAGAUCAGCAAUGAAGCUUUUUACGGUCUAGAAUAAUUUGUAAGUCCCACUGACGGUUUUGUAUAGUGAAGGGUUGAUUUUAUUUAGAAAGGAAUUUAUUGAAUUACAAUAUGUCAGUCAUAAUAAUUACCAAGGCCUGUGCUUGCUGAAGCAGGAUAUUGCGGGUUGUUUUUUGCCUUUAGGUAGGUUCUAACUUGGAUAACAAGGAUUUGAAGUUUCACCUUCACAUCUAAACCCCUCUUAUACCAUGGGAAAGUCCAUUCUGGAUCCAAUAGCUUGGUAUCACCAAAAUCUCUGUGCCUUUGACAUUGAUGGACUGUUAGGUGUGUUGGCAGCAUCUGCACCAGACUAUGAGCCCUCUAUUCAAGCUGGGAAGUUGUUCAAUGUUGGCAUGUUUUCCACUUUUGUUGAUUUAAGUAGCAUCUACUCAACCAUGCUUGAGCAGUUUGGGGAUUAGCUUAGGCCAGCAACCAUCCCCUUCUAGGCAGUUGGGGUAGGACUACCCUGUUUUGGAAACAGGAAUUUAGCUGAAUGGAAAUGAGCUCUGCCUGUUAGUUGGUCCAAGGGCCUGAAAAUGGUUCCUGGAUUGUUCUCUUGUGAAAAGUAAUGUGUUAUUUUUAAUCUGUUCAAAGUCAAUUCUGUAGCAUCCUAUGGACUGGAAUUCAGGAAAUCAUUCACAAUGGUCAUUUUGUGUCUGGAGUGCCAGACUUGCAGAGAGAUGGAUUUAAAUAUGCCAAUAGCAACAGAAUUUUCUAACAGUCGAAUCGAUUCCCCGAUUCCUUCCCUGAAUCGGUACUGUAUGUGGAUCUAUUGCUUAAUGUUCUUUAUAAGCUUUGUUAAACUGGUGGAAUGAGCAGCCUUAGACCUAUGUGGAACAUCUUUUUUAAUGUACCAAAUGGUUUUGUCUUUUUUUCCUGGUAAUGGUGAAAAUACAAAUGUUUUUACUGGUUUUCUUGGGUGUUAGUUCACUUUGAUCACUCUCAUCUCUCUUACACCAGUGAAACUCCACAAAAUGCUGCUAAUUAUAUCAGGUAAGAAUAAAAAUUCAGUCAUACACAAGUUUUUUACAUAAUAUUCCGUUUUUUAUGUAGGAACUCUCCUAUCCACUGUUUUUUCCAUGUGUCUUUGAAAUGGGAGAGGCCUGCUCAUGUCACAUCAUUCCCUCUGUUCUUGUAUAGCAGGUUAUAAACAGAUCCCAAAUUGUGAGGUACUGAGAUAAAUUGUUAAAUACUGAAAUAACCAGGUUCCUUUCCUUUUCCCCGCAGGCUAAUGUUAAGAAACUUAGUCUAGGAUGGGGUUUGGUUUCAUUUUCCUUCCACGUUACCAAUUUUGCAGAUGCUUGUAGCAAUGCUACCUGUAAAUGCAUUUCUAGUUAACCCUGCAGUCCAACAAGGAACGUGGCUGUAUUUAUCAGAAACAUGUGUGUGGAGAGUGUGACCCAUCUCCUUCACCUUUUCCUGUAGGAAGAAAUAACUUAUUUUAUUCAGAAAUUAAUAUUGUAUGUGUUUGCUAAAUCUUGUAUUCUACGUGUCCUAGGAGUUAAAGGUUCAAAAUGACAGUGUAAAUCUCAGAGUAUUUUUUCAGCAUUGAUUUUCAGCUCUCCCUAUUCUUUAAGUACUGUUUAUUCUUGGAGACAGGUUCCCAUGUGAUCUUGCAUCUGAAGUAAUUACUGUGUUAGUGUUUAAGGCAGAAAGCAUUUGUGGACUAUUAACAUACAAGAUGGGAGGAAAUUCUCAGCAGAUCUUCACUCAGAUUUUCAAUUCUGUAAUACUUUUCCAGAGCCUUCUGAUUACAAGCUGAGUGGUUGAGAUGUCUUUAUUGUAACCUCAAGUGUCUCUGUUUGCUCCCAGGAACAAGUUUCUAACCUCUCUCCUCCCACCCAUUCCCAUAUUUUUUACCUCUGGAUGAUCUGUCACAGGGCCUCCUACAUUGCAUGGCUGUGAUGAUCAAUUCCUAACACAUUUACAAGGUGCUUCCAAGAGUGACUUGCAUUCCAAGUGUGCAAUUAUAGACAAAGGUGGUAACUUUGUUUAAUAUUUUAUAUUUUAAUAAAUCUUUAAAGUAUCUUAUAAGCUCUAAUGACAGGGUUAUCAACAAACAUAGAGAAAACACAAUAUGAAUUAUUUAUUCCCUCAUCUACCUCCCAACCAAAUAAAGUCAUGUUUAGAAUCAAAUCACAGCUCUGGCAGAGACAUGUAUUAUGGUGAAGGAGUCAAAGAUGUGAUGACAAAUUUAUUUCUUUCAGCGAAACUCUU